rnacentral:rRNA from 1 species
AACGGAGGAGGCCAGCGUUAUCCGGAAUUAUUGGGCGUAAAGCGUCCGUAGGUGGUCAUGUAAGUCUGUCGUCAAAGCCAUAGGCUCAACCUCUGUAAGGCGGUGGAAACUGCAAGACUAGAGAGAGGUAGGGGUAGAGGGAAUUCCAUGUGUAGCGGUGAAAUGCGUAGAGAUUGGGAAGAACAUCGGUGGCGAAAGCGCUCUACUGGACCUUUUCUGACACUGAUGGAAGAAAGCUAGGGGAGCGAAUGGG